ACGCUCGACACCUACGGGAGACAGCAGUGGGGAAUAUUGGGCAAUGGGGCGCAAGCCUGACCCAGCAACGCCGCGUGAAGGAUGAAGGCUUUCGGGUUGUAAACUUCUUUUAUCAGGGACGAAACAAAUGACGGUACCUGAUGAAUAAGCCACGGCUAACUACGUGCCAGCGGCCGCGGUAAUCUGAGGCGGGGCGUGGGCGAAGGGC
rnacentral:rRNA from 1 species